GUGGGGAAUAUUGGGCAAUGGGCGAAAGCCUGACCCAGCAACGCCGCGUGAGGGAAGAAGGUUUUCGGAUUGUAAACCUCUGUCCUUGGGGACGAAGAAAGUGACGGUACCCAGGGAGGAAGCCCCGGCUAACUACGUGCCAGCAGCCGCGGUAAUACGUAGGGGGCGAGCGUUGUUCGGAAUGACUGGGCGUAAAGGGCGCGUAGGCGGCCGAUUAAGUCUGGAGUGACAGUCCUGUUGUUAAGGCGGGAAUUGCUUUGGAGACUGGUUGGCGUGAGUGCGGAAGAGGUAAGUGGAAUGCCCAGUGUAGCGGUGAAAUGCGUAGAGAUUGGGAGGAACACCAGUGGCGAAGGCGACUUACUGGGCCGUAACUGACGCUGAAGCGCGAAAGCGUGGGGAGCGAACAGGAUUAGAAACCCUGGUAGUCC
rnacentral:rRNA from 1 species